rnacentral:rRNA from 1 species
AUCGAACGCUGGCGGCAGGCCUAACACAUGCAAGUCGAGCGAGCGGCGGACGGGUGAGGAAUGUAUGGGGACUGCCCGAUAGAGGGGGAUAACUACUGGAAACGGUAGCUAAUACCGCCUAAUAUCGGAUAACCCAUAGGGGAUUAGCUAGUAGGUGAGGUAAUGGCUCACCUAGGCGACGAUCCCUAGCUGGUCUGCGAGGAUGAUCCGCCACAUGGGGACUGGGACACGGCCCAUACUCCUACGGAGGCAGAAGUGGGGAAUCUUGCGCAAUGGUCGAAAGUCUGAUGCAGAGAGGCCGGGUGUAUGAAGAAGGCCCUAGGGUUGUAAAGUUCUUUCAGUAGGGAGGCGUUACCGACAGAAGAAGCACCGGCUAACUACGUGCCAGCCGCCGCGGUAAUUC